GGGGAAUAUUGGGCAAUGGACGCAAGUCUGACCCAGCAACGCCGCGUGAAGGAAGAAGGCUUUCGGGUUGUAAACUUCUUUUAUACAGGAAUAAAAAGGCUUACGUGUAGGCCAUUGCAAGUACUGUAUGAAUAAGCAUCGGCUAACUCCGUGCCAGCAGCCGCGGUAAUACGGAGGAUGCGAGCGUUAUCCGGAUUUAUUGGGUUUAAAGGGUGCGCAGGCGGGCUUUUAAGUCAGCGGUGAAAUCUGGACGCUUAACGUCCAAACUGCCGUUGAAACUGGGAGUCUUGAGUAUGGAUGAAGUAGGCGGAAUUCGUUGUGUAGCGGUGACAUGCAUAGAUAUAACGAGGAACUCCGAUUGCGUAGGCAGCUUACUAAGCCAUAACUGACGCUCAUGCACGAAAGCGUGGGGAUCAAACA
rnacentral:rRNA from 1 species